AAUGAACGCUGGCGGCGUGCUUUACACAUGCAAGUUGAGCGAGGCCGGGUAGCAAUACCCGAGUCGAGCGGCGAACGGGUGAGUAACACGUGGGUGACCUGCCCUCAGCUCUGGGAUAAGCCUGGGAAACCGGGUCUAAUACUGGAUAUGACUCCAUGACGCAUGUUGUGGGGUGGAAAGCCUUGUGCGGCUGAGGAUGGGCCCGCGGCCUAUCAGCUUGNGGUUGGGGUGAGUGGCCUACCAAGGCGACGACGGGUAGCCGGCCUGAGAGGGCGACCGGCCACACUGGGACUGAGACACGGCCAGACUCCUACGGGAGGCAGCAGUGGGGAAUCUUGCGCAAUGGGCGAAAGCCGUGACGCAGCGACGCCGCGUGAGGGAUGAC
rnacentral:rRNA from 1 species